rnacentral:rRNA from 1 species
AGUGAACGCUGGCGGUAGGCCUAACACAUGCAAGUCGAACGGCAGCACAGUAAGAGCUUGCUCUUACGGGUGGCGAGUGGCGGACGGGUGAGGAAUACAUCGGAAUCUACUUUUUCGUGGGGGAUAACGUAGGGAAACUUACGCUAAUACCGCAUACGACCUACGGGUGAAAGCAGGGGAUCUUCGGACCUUGGGCGAUUGAAUGAGCCGAUGUCGGAUUAGUUAGUUGGCGGGGUAAAGGCCCACCAAGGCGACGAUCCGUAGCUGGUCUGAGAGGAUGAUCAGCCACACUGGAACUGGAACACGGGCCAGACUCCUACGGGAGGCAGCAGUGGGGAAUAUUGGACAAUGGGCGCAAGCAUGAUCCAGCCAUACCGCGUGGGUGAAGAAGGCCUUCGGGUUGUAAAGCCGUUUUGUUGGGAAAGAAAAGCAGCAGGUUAAGACGCCGCUGUUCUGACGGUACCUAAAGAAUAAGCACCGGCUAACUUCGUG